GACGAACGCUGGCGGCGUGCUUAACACAUGCAAGUCGAACGGAAAGGCCCUGCUUUUGUGGGGUGCUCGAGUGGCGAACGGGUGAGUAACACGUGAGUAACCUGCCCUUGACUUUGGGAUAACUUCAGGAAACUGGGGCUAAUACCGGAUAGGAGCUCCUGCUGCAUGGUGGGGGUUGGAAAGUUUCGGCGGUUGGGGAUGGACUCGCGGCUUAUCAGCUUGUUGGUGGGGUAGUGGCUUACCAAGGCUUUGACGGGUAGCCGGCCUGAGAGGGUGAACGGCCACAUGGGGACUGAGAGACGGCCCAGACGCCUACGGGAGGCAGCAGUGGGGAAUAUUGCACAAUGGGCGGAAGUCUGAGGCAGCAACGUCGCGAGCGGGAUGACGGCCUUCGGGUUGUAAACCGCUGUCGGCUGUGACGAAGCGGGAGUGACGGUAAUGGGUAAAGAAGCACCGGCUAACUACGUG
rnacentral:rRNA from 1 species